UACGGAGGGUGCAAGCGUUAUCCGGAUUCACUGGGUUUAAAGGGUGCGUAGGUGGGUUGGUAAGUCAGUGGUGAAAUCUCCAGGCUUAACUUGGAAACUGCCAUUGAUACUAUCAAUCUUGAAUACCGUGGAGAUGAGCGGAAUAUGUCAUGUAGCGGUGAAAUGCUUAGAUAUGACAUAGAACACCAAUUGCGAAGGCAGCUUACUACGGAUUGAUUGACACUGAGGCACGAAAGCGUGGGGAUCAAACAGG
rnacentral:rRNA from 1 species